GACCUGGUGGUGUACGGCAACACACCUGCUUUACUUGAUCAUCAUCGAAUCUUCGUGCAACAUUGUGCAGGAGACCCCCGUUCAAACCGGGGCCAGGUCG